UACGUAGGGUGCGAGCGUUGUCCGGAAUUAUUGGGCGUAAAGAGCUCGUAGGCGGUCUGUCGCGUCGAAUGUGAAAACCCGGGGCUCAACUCCGGGCUUGCAUUCGAUACGGGCAGGCUAGAGUUCGGUAGGGGAGUCUGGAAUUCCCGGUGUAGUGGUGAAAUGCGCAGAUAUCAGGAGGAACACCGGUGGCGAAGGCGGGACUCUGGGCCGAUACUGACGCUGAGGAGCGAAAGCGUGGGGAGCGAACAGG
rnacentral:rRNA from 1 species